UACGUAGGGGGGCAAGCGUUGUCCGGAUUUAUUGGGCGUAAAGAGCGUGUAGGCGGCUAGGUAGGUCCGUUGUGAAAACUCGAGGCUCAACCUCGAGACGUCGAUGGAAACCAUCUAGCUAGAGUCCGGAAGAGGAGAGUGGAAUUCCUGGUGUAGCGGUGAAAUGCGCAGAUAUCAGGAAGAACACCCGUGGCGAAGGCGGCUCUCUGGUACGUGACUGACGCUGAGACGCGAAAGCGUGGGGAGCAAACAGG
rnacentral:rRNA from 1 species